GCCCUAAACGAUGUCGACUGGUUGUUGGGGGUUUGACACUCUCAGUAACGAAGCUAACGCGUGAAGUCGACCGCCUGGGGAGUACGGCCGCAAGGUUAAAACUCAAAGGAAUUGACGGGGACCCGCACAAGCGGUGGAUUAUGUGGAUUAAUUCGAUGCAACGCGAAAAACCUUACCUACCCUUGACAUGUCCGAGAGCCCGUAGAGAUAUGGGUGUGCCCGAAAGGGAAUCGGAACACAGGUGCUGCAUGGCUGUCGUCAGCUCGUGUCGUGAGAUGUUGGGUUAAGUCCCGCAACGAGCGCAACCCUUGUCAUUAGUUACUACAUUCAGUUGGGCACUCUAAUGAGACUGCCGGUGACAAACCGGAGGAAGGUGGGGAUGACGUCAAGUCCUCAUGGCCCUUAUGGGUAGGGCUUCACACGUAAUACAAUGGCGCGUACAGAGGGUUGCCAAGGGAGCGAUCUGGAGCCAAUCCCGUAAAGCGCGUCGUAAUCCGGAUUGCAGUCUGCAACUCGACUGCAUGAAGUCGGAAUCGCUAGUAAUCGCGGAUCAGCAUGUCGCGGUGAAUACGUCCCGGGUCUUGUACACACCGCCCGUCACACCAUGGGANUGGGUUUCACCAGAAGCCGGUCGCCUAACCGC
rnacentral:rRNA from 1 species